rnacentral:rRNA from 1 species
CAGCCGCCGCGGUAAUACGUAGGGUGCGAGCGUUAAUCGGAAUUACUGGGCGUAAAGCGUGCGCAGGCGGUUUUGUAAGACAGGCGUGAAAUCCCCGGGCUCAACCUGGGAAUGGCGCUUGUGACUGCAAAGCUAGAGUGCGGCAGAGGGGGAUGGAAUUCCGCGUGUAGCAGUGAAAUGCGUAGAUAUGCGGAGGAACACCGAUGGCGAAGGCAAUCCCCUGGGCCUGCACUGACGCCCAUGCACGAAAGCGUGGGGAGCAAACAGGAUUAGAUACCCCAGUAGUCCCUGUCUCUUAUAC